rnacentral:rRNA from 1 species
UACGUAGGGUGCAAGCGUUGUCCGGAAUUAUUGGGCGUAAAGAGCUCGUAGGCGGUUUGUCGCGUCUGCUGUGAAAACGCGGGGCUCAACUCCGCGCCUGCAGUGGGUACGGGCAGACUAGAGUGCAGUAGGGGAGACUGGAAUUCCUGGUGUAGCGGUGGAAUGCGCAGAUAUCAGGAGGAACACCGGUGGCGAAGGCGGGGUCUCUGGGCUGUAACUGACGCUGAGGAGCGAAAGCGUGGGUAGCGAACAGG